rnacentral:rRNA from 1 species
UAAGCAAGAUGUGAAAGCCCCGGGCUCAACCUGGGAAUGGCAUUUUGAACUGGCAAGCUCGAGUUUUGAAGAGGGGGGUAGAAUUUCCUGUGUAGCGGUGAAAUACGUAGAUAUAGGAAGGAAUACCAGUGGCGAAGGCGGCCACCUGGUCAAAAACUGACGCUGAGGUACGAAAGCGUGGGGAGCAAACAGGAUUAGAUACCCUGGUAGUCCACGCCGUAAACGAUGUCAAGUAGUUGUUCGUGUCAUUAACGAUGUGAGUA